rnacentral:rRNA from 1 species
AUUGAACGCUGGCGGCAGGCCUAACACAUGCAAGUCGAGCGGAGCGGCGGAGGGGGGAGUAAUGCCUAGGAAUCUGCAUGGUAGUGGGGGAGAACGACAGGAAAUGGGAGCUAAUACCGCAUACUAUUGGAUGAGCCUAGGUCGGAUUAGCUAGUUGGGGGGGUAAAGGCCUACCAAGGCGACGAUCCGUAACUGGUCUGAGAGGAUGAUCAGUCACACUGGAACUGAGACACGGUCCAGACUCCUACGGGAGGCAGCAGUGGGGAAUAUUGGACAAUGGGCGAAAGCCUGAUCCAGCCAUGCCGCGUGUGUGAAGAAGGUCUUCGGAUUGUAAAGCACUUUAAGUUGGGAGGCGUUACCAGCAGAAUAAGCACCGGCUAACUUCGUGCCAGCAGCCGCGGUAAUUC